GUAAAAUGUGCUUUCACCUCUUUCUCCGGCCGCAGAAAGUUGCAUGAGAUGCUGCGCAACCUCCGAGAUGACGACGAAGACUAUCAUCCGGUUUUUACUCUUCAUUAAUGCUCUUUUUUGCAUUCCUCGUGUGUGUGUGUGUGGGUCUGGUUGAUCGCAGCUACUGCCAGCCGAGGGUAAGUGAAUGCUUCAAGAUUGUCAAUCCUGGCCAGAUUUCAAGUGGACAACGAAUUCAGACCUGUGUGCAGCAGAACUCCGCACCCGCCGAUCUACAGCUUUCAUCCGCUGACCGUAUCACCGAAUGAACAUAACACAGAAUUUAUAAAAAUGUUAAAAUCAAGGAAAAGAACAGAAUGUUGAUAAGAAUAAGAACAAGGUUAAUUUACCAAACUGUGAACUGUGAAUAAAAUUAUAACCCUUGAAUAUAUUAUGCUUAGAGCGUA